rnacentral:rRNA from 1 species
AUUGAACGCUGGCGGCAGGCUUAACACAUGCAAGUCGAGCGGGGAAGGGUAGCUUGCUACCUGACCUAGCGGCGGACGGGUGAGUAAUGCUUAGGAAUCUGCCUAUUAGUGGGGGACAACAUCUCGAAAGGGAUGCUAAUACCGCAUACGUCCUACGGGGGAAAGCAGGGGACCUUCGGGCCUUGCGCUAAUAGAUGAGCCUAAGUCGGAUUAGCUAGUUGGUGGGGUAAAGGCCUACCAAGGCGACGAUCUGUAGCGGGUCUGAGAGGAUGAUCCGCCACAAUGGGACUGGAACACGGCCCAGACUCCUACGGGAGGCAGCAGUGGGGAAUAUUGGACAAUGGGGGGAACCCUGAUCCAGCCAUGCCGCGUGUGUGAAGAAGGCCUUUUGGUUGUAAAGCACUUUAAGCGAGGAGGAGGCUACCGAGAUUAAUACUCUUGGAUAGUGGACGUUACUCGCAGAAUAAGCACCGGCUAACUCUGUGCCAGCCGCCGCCGUAACAC